rnacentral:rRNA from 1 species
AACGAACGCUGGCGGCGUGCCUAACACAUGCAAGUCGUGCGAGAAAGUUCCUUCGGGAGCGAGUAAAGCGGCGCACGGGUGAGUAACACGUAGGUAACCUGCCCCCCAGUCUGGAACAACUAGAGGAAACUCUAGCUAAUGCCGGAUGAGACCACGAUCCCUUCGAGGGUUGCGGCCAAAGAUGGCCUCUACUUGUAAGCUAUCGCUGAGGGAUGGGCCUGCGGGCCAUUAGCUUGUUGGUGAGGUAACGGCUCACCAAGGCUGUGAUGGCUAGCUGGUCUGAGAGGAUGACCAGCCACACUGGGACUGAGACACGGCCCAGACUCCUACGGGAGGCAGCAGUGGGGAAUAUUGCGCAAUGGGCGAAAGCCUGACGCAGCGACGCCGCGUGGGUGAUGAAGGCCU